rnacentral:rRNA from 1 species
AAUACAGUACUUGUUAUGCCUUAUUAAAAAAAAGUUUUAUAACAUAAGGAAUUAUAACAAAGAAGCAACACAUAAAAUAUGACAUUCAUAUUUUUUAGUGUGUAUCAAUCGAGUUUCUGACCUAUCAGCUUUUGAUGUUAGGAUAUGGGCCUAACAUGGCUAUGACGGGUAACGGGGAAUUAGAGUUCGAUUCCGGAGAGGGAGCCUGAGAAACGGCUACCACAUCUAAGGAAGGCAGCAGGCGCGUAAAUUACCCAAUUCUAAAGAAGAGAGGUAGUGACAAGAAAUAAUAGGACAAGACUAAUUUUUUAGUUUUGUAUCUGUGCUGAUAGAAUUUUAAAACCAUUCUAAAAUUCCAUUGGAGGGCAAGUCUGGUGCCAGCAGCCGCGGUAAUUCCAGCUCCAAUAGCGUAUAUUAAAGUUGCUGCAGUUAAAAAGCUCGUAGUUGGAUUUCAAA